UACAGAGGUCCCAAGCGUUGUUCGGAUUCAUUGGGCGUAAAGGGUGUGUAGGUGGCGCCGUAAGUCGGGUGUGAAAUCUCGGGGCUUAACUCCGAAACUGCAUUCGAUACUGCGGUGCUUGAGGACUGGAGAGGAGACUGGAAUUCAUGGUGUAGCAGUGAAAUGCGUAGAGAUCAUGAGGAAGACCAGUGGCGAAGGCGGGUCUCUGGACAGCUCCUGACACUGAGACACGAAGGCCAGGGGAGCAAACGGG
rnacentral:rRNA from 1 species